UACGUAGGGCGCAAGCGUUGUCCGGAAUUAUUGGGCGUAAAGAGCUCGUAGGCGGCUUGUCACGUCGGGUGUGAAAGCCCGGGGCUUAACCCCGGGUCUGCAUUCGAUACGGGCUAGCUAGAGUGUGGUAGGGGAGAUCGGAAUUCCUGGUGUAGCGGUGAAAUGCGCAGAUAUCAGGAGGAACACCGGUGGCGAAGGCGGCACUCUGGGCCGGUACUGACGCUGAGGAGCGAAAGCGUGGGGAGCGAACAGG
rnacentral:rRNA from 1 species